UACGUAGGGUGCGAGCGUUAAUCGGAAUUACUGGGCGUAAAGCGUGCGCAGGCGGUUCGUUGUGUCGGUGGUGAAAGCCCCGGGCUUAACCUGGGAAUGGCCGUCGAAACUGGCGAACUGGAGUGUGGCAGAGGGGGGUGGAAUUCCGCGUGUAGCAGUGAAAUGCGUAGAGAUGCGGAGGAACACCGAUGGCGAAGGCAGCCCCCUGGGCUGACACUGACGCUCAGGCACGAAAGCUGGGGGAGCAAACAGG
rnacentral:rRNA from 1 species